AUGAUGCUAAUAAGUUGCGCGAACAGCCGAAGAAAAGUCUGAAUUUGUGUAAAGCAAGAUUGGAGUGUUUCUGUUCCGUAAAAAAGAAAUCUUACAACUCAUGAAGAUCAGAGCUGAUCUUCACCGAUACGAGAGCAGAGCGCUGUAUUACCGGCAAACCUCGUAAACGACCAUAGCAGCAAGUGGGGAGUUCUCGAGGAGGAGGGAUAAACGAGCCGAGCCACGAUUUCGUUGUCGUAAACGUCAAAGUUACGGUUACAGCGUUGUUCCUAGCUGCUUUAUAUUGAACGAGGUUGCUCCCCGAGGUACGUAACACCUACCUACUCGCAACCGUCGUAUUGCAGAAAGUAGCACUAUGCUCCUUUCCAACUCGGGAGCGACGCGGGCACCACGUGGCUUUUACGCGGGAAUCCGGCAGAGGAAUUCAAGAUUUACACCAUAAAAGAGGUUCGUUCUCAAUAGACUGAAAUGAAGAGAUGCCUAAAUAGCAUCCCCAGCCUCUAUCGUCGCGCCCUCUAAUUACCCUGUAGACGCAGUCACCCCUCAAUGAGAAGUGAUAAAUAUUGUUCGCGUUUGAGUAUAUCCCGAGAAAGUGAAUGAGCUCUAUAAAGAAAGAUAUAUUUCUCAUUACUAUUGUAAGUAGAUUAUUUACUGAUAAAAUAACAUGUUGUUUCUAAUUUAAAAAUUUGAUAUUUUUUUACCAUUAAGUACAGAAUAAAUUACUUUCAGUAUUAGUACAAAUAAAAUAUUAGAAGAAGAAUUUAAAAUUUAAA